GGCUGUGUUUGAUUUGUGCUGGCUGUGCCCUCGAUUAUCCUCCUUGACAGUCUCAGGCAAUCCUAUGGGAAAGCAUUGUGAUUGCCUCACAGAAUCCCUUCUGAUGAUGUCAGGCAUGCAGGCAGAUCAGGGGCAGCGGUUGCAGACUUGAAUACAAGUAAGAUUUUAAUAUAUUUAGGGAGGCAAGGGGUGUUCGGUGGUUUUAACAC